CAAAUAUCCAUCAAGCAAAGUUAAGAUGAGAGAAAUGAAAAGAGGCAGGAUACUCUGUAACUCAACUGCUCUCAAUAUAAUUAGAUUUUGACUGAAAUACAAUGAGAAAAUUGUAUUCUGUUAACUUGGAUUUCCUUUUUCUUCUGCUCAGCCUACCUCUUACUACUCCUCCCUUUGCUCAUUCUUCUAGAAACACUGGCUUGUGAACCACUUCUUAACCAUGCCAGUUUUGCUUCCAACCCAGGCUUUUGAACUUGCUGUUUUCUUUUGCCUGGAACCAUUCUUCCCAUAAUUAUUUCCAUGGCUCAUUUCCUCGUUUCUUUCAGGACUGGACUCAAAUGUCACCUGCUUAGAGAAGACUUAUUUGACUUACUACUUAAGUUUUCCCAUUUUCUAGCAUUCCUUAUCUUCUUUUCCUGCUUUAUUUUUUUCUAUAGCACUUACAACCAUCUAGUGGAUUUUAAUAUACAUCUCCCCUAGCCCAUGACAGAAAGAAAACUACAGGAAGACAGUUCACAGGUUCCAGGAUAACCAGAUGACUGAGGAAUGUUGAAGAUUGCAGUGAUGGAAGUGUCUCAGUCAGCCUGGAAGACUGUAUGGAAGGAGGUUGCCUGGCCACACUGUCAUGUCCCCCUCUCCCUAAAAAAGGGACACAUUUGCCUUUGUGCAAGGCAACACAUACAUUUGGUCUGUGUAUAUACUUUGGUCUAUGUAUUCUGUUAUUUAACAUUCUAAUAAUGUUGAUGACCUUAAAAUAUGUUUGACAAUGAUCCUUGUAAAUCAUUAUUAUUCUGCCUUCUGCAAGAUAAGAAUUAUGGGCCAGGUAUGGCACUUAACGCCUAUAAUACAAACAUUUUGGGAGGCCCAGGCAGGAGGAUUGCUUGAGCUCAGGAGUUAGAGACCAGCUUGGGCAACAUAGUGAGACCUCAUCUCUACUAAAAAUAAAACAAAAAAAGUUAUGAUAGUGACACUGCACUCCAGCCUGGGUGACAGAGCAAGAUCCUGUAUCCAAAUAAAUAAAUGCCUAAUAUAGGAAUUAUCAAAUUCAACACAUAUUAAUUAUUUUCAUAUCCAUUUGUGGAAAAUAAUAACGUGGGGAUUAUUCUUAAAAAGGCUUCUGGAAGUGGCUUCUUCAAUUAAAUAUAUUCAAAACUGAUUCCCGCUUACUACGCAAAUCAAAGAGGAAUUGAAAAUGUGUGUGAUUCCCACUAAAUAAUUUUCCUUUUGUAUGACUUGAUGUUACUAUCUUUGUGGAGUGGCUGAGGAAUGUCUCCUUCUUGCCUUUGUCUUCAAAGGCUCUGCCAAUGUGAAGUA
rnacentral:lncRNA from 1 species